rnacentral:rRNA from 1 species
GACGAACGCUGGCGGCGUGCUUAACACAUGCAAGUCGAACGGAAAGGCCCUGCUUUUGUGGGGUGCUCGAGUGGCGAACGGGUGAGUAACACGUGAGUAACCUGCCCUGGACUUGGGGAUAACUGCAGGAAACUGGGGCUAAUACCUGAUAGGAGCUCCUGCUGCAUGGUGGGGGUUGGAAAGUUUCGGCGGUUGUGGAUGGACUCGCGGCUUAUCAGCUUGUUGGUGGGGUAGUGGCUUACCAAGGCUUUGACGGGUAGCCGGCCUGGGAGGGUGACCGGCCACAUUGGGACUGAGAUACGGCCCAGACUCCUACGGGAGGCAGCAGUGGGGAAUAUUGCACAAUGGGCGGACGCCUGAUGCAGCAACGCCGCGUGCGGGAUGACGGCCUUCGGGUUGUAAACCGCUUUAGCCUGUGACGAAGCGUGAGUGACGGUAAUGGGUAAAGAAGCACCGGCUAACUACGUG